AUGGUCUCAUUCAGCUUUGCGAUAGCUCAGCUUGUUUCACCCUUAAUAUUUUUUAAAAAUAUUUCUUUUUUUAUCCAUGUUUGCAUUUGGGAGGAUAUAUUUUUUAUCAUCACGACCAUCCUUACUAUCAUUUUUAAGUGGCCACAUAGAUAUAUAACUGGCCUGCCUCAUAAACAACAGUGUCUUCUUUUAUUGAUGUUGCAGGAUGGGCUUCUCAUUUUCUCUGCUGACUUCGUAGAGUUGUUUGAGCAAACAGUAAAUUCAGUUAGUGUGGAUAGACAGCACCACAAACUCAGUGGUCAGCUUUUCCUCAAGAUGAUGCUUUCUCACUUGGUGACUCAAGAGUCCAGUUACAAUCACACCCACCUCCUUCCACAGAUUAUUUGAGAACAUCUUUGAAAGAAUCUCAAUAGAAAAAGAAGUCUGAACGUUGUAUCAAAUCUGAGGAGCUCUGCACUCAAGCAUCUGAGAAACGUUAUCAAGGGCUUCUGUGCCUUACAAAUAAUAGGAAGAUGGUUACCUGCCCGUUCCAGCUCAACACUAACUUCUUCUCAGAAAUGUUGCAUAUAAAUCUGUCUUUACUGAAGCCCUGAUUUAGUGUUGUGAUUUCACGUUGUAAUAAAUAUAUUGGGGAUUAUUUCUGGUAAAAUGAU
rnacentral:lncRNA from 1 species